rnacentral:rRNA from 1 species
CCUACGGGAGGCAGCAGUGGGGGAUAUUGGACAAUGGGGGGAACCCUGAUCCAGCGACGCCGCGUGAGUGAAGAAGUAUUUCGGUACGUAAAGCUCUGUCAGCAGGGAAGAAAGAAAUGACGCUACCUGACCAAGAAGCCCCGGCUAACUACGUGCCAGCAGCCGCGGUAAUACGUAGGGGGCAAGCGUUAUCCGGGAUUACUGGGUGUAAAGGGAGCGUAGACGGUUAAGUAAGUCUGGAGUGAAAGGCCGGGGCCCAACCCCGGGACUGCUCUGGAAACUAUGGAACUUGAGUGCAGGAGAGGUAAGCGGAAUUCCUAGUGUAGCGGUGAAAUGCGUAGAUAUUAGGAGGAACACCAGGGGCGAAGGCGGCUUACUGGACUGUAACUGACGUUGAGGCUCGAAAGCGUGGGGAGCAAACAGGAUUAGAUACCCCUGUAGUC